UUUGCCCCUCACGCCCUGGAGCCUGGAUGUCCAAGGUCAAAGUGCCGGCCAGCUUCUCGGUGGAGAGAGAGGGCGCUGGGUCCUCCUUCUUGUCAGUCUUCCCACUGAGAAGCAGGGUCUCUGUUCCCUCCCCUGGAAUCUGAAAAGACAUGAUUUCUUGGACCAAAGAACAUGGUGGAAUGACUCCACGGUGGAAUGAUGUUGGACGACUCUCCAAGGCAGGGGCUGGAACACCCUGACACGGCCAUGCACACCAACUUCAACCUACACGGGCUGAGUCAGGGGGUGGCAGAACAGGAGGAACAAAGGACGAGCCUCCCGGGGCCCAUCCCCAUCUCCCCUGGAACAUGGACUUGAGAAUGAAGGAGGCCAUGCCAUCCCUCAGCAGCGCUCAGCCCUGCUGGGCUCGCCCUGCACAGCACAACACACCCAAGGAUGCACUCGUGGGCACCACCUGGGAGGCCACAUGCUCGUGUGUCGGGAUCUGCACAGAGCAGGACCCCCUUACCCCAGCCUUGCCACACACUCUCCAGAAUGCCCACAGGGCAGCACAACACGCCCACCCCCUCAGCACACACUCAUAUGCCAUUUUCCCCCCUCGGGUGGUGUCAUGUCCCCUCUGCUCACUGGUGAGUUUAAGCAGGGAUCCACACAUCUGACUCCCUGGGGGCUGCUCUUGUGGGAUUGGCCCGUCCCCGUCACUCCUUUGUCUCCUGUCAGGUUUCCCGUUGUCCUCAAUGACUGGUGGGAGUUCCUGGAAUGUUCUGGAUGCAGAUCUCUUCUCCAUUUCAGGCACUGCAAGACUUCCUCCAGCAUUCCAGACAUCCUCCAGCAUUCCAGACUUCCUCCAGCAUUCCAGACA